UUCUUCUUUUCUUUUUCACGUCGUCCCAAGGUCAUUGAUGAACUCUUCUGUUCAUGUGGGGUUGUCGUUCGCCGAGCUCCUUUUCGGCGUUUAUGCCAUUCGAAGAUACCCAAUUGUCAUUCCGUUGAUGGUUGCAGGUUUGCUUGGGGCCCUUCGGGCCUGAGAUUCCUCCCAGGGCUUGAAUUCGGGGAUUCGAGCUUCC
rnacentral:lncRNA from 1 species